rnacentral:rRNA from 1 species
AGUUCGUGGAGUGAUCUGUCUGCUUAAUUGCGUUUCAAAAUUUAACUUGAGGACCGGGUUUUGGUUUGGCUAGUGGUUCUACGAUGACUGUGAACUGUCAUGUCUUCGGAUGUGCGACUAUUGGUCUAGGAUCACAUGACUUGCCCCUGGGACUCUUUUGAACGCAACGGACGUGAUUGCAACCCCUUGUUGAGAUUAGAGAUAGUCUCGAUAUUCACUGGACAAACUGGCUGCUUUAUGCAGUCUUGUUGAAUGGUGGAUAAACUCGGGGGACUGCUGACUAUAACCAUUUCUCAAAACAGAGGAAGGUUGCGGCAAUAACAGGUCUGUGAUGCCCUCAGAUGUCCCGGGCUGCACACGUGCUACAAUGAGUGGCGCAAUGUGCUAAUGUUUAAGGGAUAAGAGUGUGGUCAGUAGAACGUCGGGAUUUCCCCUGACGUCUCCCCCGCACGAUUAUCAGCCUUCCCUUAACAGGGCGGGCAACCUUUUCAAAAUACUGGUUUGAUGUUAAAGUAUUGAGUCGUUUUUUUUGGAUGGUGGUUUGUUAACCAAUACCAUCCGGCAACUGCUCGCGAGUUUGUGGUUCUGGCGACUC